GAUGAACGCUGGCGGCGUGCUUAACACAUGCAAGUCGAACGAUGAAGCCCAGCUUGCUGGGUGGAUUAGUGGCGAACGGGUGAGUAACACGUGAGUAACCUGCCCUUAACUCUGGGAUAAGCCUGGGAAACUGGGUCUAAUACCCGAUAGGAGCGUCCACCGCACGGUGGGUGUUGGAAAGAUUUAGCGGUUUUGGAUGGACUCGCGGCGUAUCAGCUUGUUGGUGAGGUAAUGGCUCACCAAGGCGACGACGGGUAGCCGGCCUGAGAGGGUGACCGGCCACACUGGGACUGAGAUACGGCCCAGACUCCUACGGGAGGCAGCAGUGGGGAAUAUUGCACAAUGGGCGCAAGCCUGAUGCAGCGACGCCGCGUGAGGGAUGACGGCCUUCGGGUUGUAAACCUCUUUCAGUAGGGAAGAAGCGAAAGUGACGGUACCUGCAGAAGAAGCACCGGCUAACUACGUG
rnacentral:rRNA from 1 species